UACGUAGGGGGCAAGCGUUGUCCGGAAUCAUUGGGCGUAAAGAGCGUGUAGGCGGCUUGGUAAGUCCGCUGUGAAAGUCCAGGGCUCAACCCUGGAAUGCCGGUGGAAACUGUCAAGCUUGAGUCCGGAAGAGGCGAGUGGAAUUCCUGGUGUAGCGGUGAAAUGCGCAGAUAUCAGGAGGAACACCAAUUGCGAAGGCAGCUCGCUGGGACGUUACUGACGCUGAGGAGCGAAAGCAUGGGGAGCGAACAGG
rnacentral:rRNA from 1 species